AGUGAACGCUGGCGGUAGGCCUAACACAUGCAAGUCGAACGGCAGCACAGUAAGAGCUUGCUCUUACGGGUGGCGAGUGGCGGACGGGUGAGGAAUACAUCGGAAUCUACUUUUUCGUGGGGGAUAACGUAGGGAAACUUAUGCUAAUACCGCAUACGACCUACGGGUGAAAGCAGGGGAUCUUCGGACCUUGCGCGAUUGAAUGAGCCGAUGUCGGAUUAGCUAGUUGGCGGGGUAAAGGCCCAACAAGGCGACGAUCCGUAGCUGGUCUGAGAGGAUGAUCAGCCGCACUGGAGCGUAGACACGCUCCAGACUCCUACGGGAGGCAGCAGAGUGGAAUAUUGGGCAAUGGGCGCAAGCCUGAUCCAGCCAUACCGCGUGAGUGAAGAAGGCCUUCGGGUUGUAAAGCCCUUUUGUUGGGAAAGAAAAGCAGCAGGUUAAUACCCCGCUGUUCUGACGGUACCCAAAGAAUAAGCACCGGCUAACUUCGUG
rnacentral:rRNA from 1 species